rnacentral:rRNA from 1 species
GCGAACGGGUGAGUAACACGUGGGUAACCUGCCCAGAAGAGGGGGAUAACACUUGGAAACAGGUGCUAAUACCGCAUAAUAAUAAAAACCACAUGGUUUUUAUUUGAAAGAUGGUUAUGCUAUCACUUCUGGAUGGACCCGCGGCGUAUUAGCUAGUUGGUAAGGUAAUGGCUUACCAAGGCGAUGAUACGUAGCCGAACUGAGAGGUUGAUCGGCCACAUUGGGACUGAGACACGGCCCAA